GACGAACGCUGGCGGCGUGCUUAACACAUGCAAGUCGAACGGUAAGGCCCUUCGGGGUACACGAGUGGCGAACGGGUGAGUAACACGUGGGUGAUCUGCCCUGCACUUCGGGAUAAGCCUGGGAAACUGGGUCUAAUACCGGAUAGGACUCCUGGCUUCAUGGUUGGGGGUGUAAAGCUUUUGCGGUGUGGGAUGGGCCCGCGGCCUAUCAGCUUGUUGGUGGGGUAAUGGCCUACCAAGGCGACGACGGGUAGCCGGCCUGAGAGGGUGACCGGCCACACUGGGACUGAGAUACGGCCCAGACUCCUACGGGAGGCAGCAGUGGGGAAUAUUGCACAAUGGGCGCAAGCCUGAUGCAGCGACGCCGCGUGAGGGAUGACGGG
rnacentral:rRNA from 1 species